rnacentral:rRNA from 1 species
AGUGAACGCUGGCGGCAUGCCUAACACAUGCAAGUCGAACGGCAGCACAGGGAGAUCUUGCCCCUGCGGGUGGCGAGGGGCGGACGGGUGACGAAUGCAUCGCAUACCUCUCUGACGGGGGUGAUAACGGAGGAAAACUUAUUCUAACACCGCAUAUAUCGUACCGGGGAGGGCAAGGGUUCGACUCGCUUUUUGUGAGUGUAAGAGCCGAUGUCGGAUUAGCUAGUUGGCUGGGUAAAGGCCCACCAAGGCGACGAUCCGUAGCUGGCCUGAGAGGAUGAUCGGCCACACUGGAACUGAGACACGGUCCAGACUCCUACGGGAGGCAGCAGUGGGGAAUAUUGGGCAAUGGGCGCAAGCCUGAUGCAGCCACACCGCGUGAGUGAAGAAGGCCUUCGGGUUGUAAAGCCCUUUUAUUGGGUAAGAACAGAAGCAUGUUUAACCCUGGAUGUUUUGACGGUACCCAAUGAAAAAGCCCCGGCUAACUUCGUG